GAUGAAGAACGCAGCGAAAUGCGAUACCUGGUGUGAAUUGCAGAAUCCCGCGAACCAUCGAGUCUUUGAACGCAAGUUGCGCCCGAGGCCACUCGGCCGAGGGCACGCCUGCCUGGGCGUCACGCCAAAACACGCUCCCAACCCCCCUCAUCGGGAAUAGGGAUGCGGCAUAUGGUCCCUCGUCUCGCAAGGGGCGGUGGGCCGAAGAUCGGGCUGCCGGCGGACCGCGCCGGACACAGCGCAUGGUGGGCGUCCUCGCUUUAUCAACGCAGUGCAUCCGACGCGUAGCCGGCGUGAUGGCCUCAAAACGACCCAGCAAACGAAGCGCACGUCGCUUCGACCGCGACCCCAGGUCAGGCGGGACUACCCGCUGAGUUUAAGCAUAUCAAUAAGCGGAGGA
rnacentral:misc_RNA from 1 species